rnacentral:rRNA from 1 species
GAUGAACGCUGGCGGCGUGCCUAAUACAUGCAAGUCGAGCGAACAGACGAGGAGCUUGCUCCUCUGUCGUUAGCGGCGGACGGGUGAGUAACACGUGGAUAACCUACCUAUAAGACUGGGAUAACUUCGGGAAACCGGAGCUAAUACCGGAUAAUAUAUUGAACCGCAUGGUUCAAUAGUGAAAGACGGUUUUGCUGUCACUUAUAGAUGGAUCCGCGCCGCAUUAGCUAGUUGGUAAGGUAACGGCUUGCCAAGGCAACGAUGCGUAGCCGACCUGAGAGGGUGAUCGGCCACACUGGAACUGAGACACGGUCCAGACUCCUACGGGAGGCAGCAGUAGGGAAUCUUCCGCAAUGGGCGAAAGCUUGACGGAGCAACGCCGCGUGAGUGAUGAAGGUCUUCGGAUCGUAAAACUCUGUUAUUAGGGAAGAACAAAUGUGUAAGUAACUAUGCACGUCUUGACGGUACCUAAUCAGAAAGCCACGGCUAACUACGUG